UACGUAGGGUCCAAGCGCUAUCCGGAUUUAUUGGGCGUAAAGAGAUGCGUAGGCGGGAAUUUAAGUGAGAUGCGAAAUCCUGUGGCUCAACCAUAUGGACUGUAUCUCAUACUGGGUUCCUAGAGGACGGCAGAGGCAAGUGGAAUUUCUGGUGUAGCAGUGAAAUGCGUAGAUAUCAGAAGGAACACCAAUGGCGAAGGCAGCUUGCUGGGCCGUUCCUGACGCUGAGGCUCGAAAGCGUGGGGAGCGAACAGG
rnacentral:rRNA from 1 species